rnacentral:lncRNA from 1 species
CCCCCGCCGGCUCCGACAGCGGGUUGGUCCGCUGAGGGGCGUUGGGUGAGGCGGAAGAGCAGACGGGGAUCCGGAAGGCGUUGUCGGUGACAUCACGGAGAGGGCGAUUUCUAUGUAGAUGAGGCAGCGCAGGGGCUGCUGCUUCGCCACCUGCUGCUUCGCCACGAAAGAGUUCCCGUGCCGUGGGAGCAAGUCUGGGACCUCUGGUCGGAACGGAGAGUCGCAGCUGUGUGUUAGGGCUAGGAUGGCUCCGGGAUGCGCGUGAGGCAAGUGACCUUGCGUGUAAAGGGGCCCGCCUGGCAGGACGACUGAGCAAGUCCUUGGAAAACCAGAGAUAUUAGAGCGGUGAAUCGCGCUGGUCACGUUGGACACCUGCGCGUUAGGAGAUUCUGGAGCCAGAGGGAGAGACCCCAGAAACUCCCCGGUCGGCGACCCAGCCCGAGACGCCUGGGGUCCCAAGGGAAGCUGAACGCCCGGUGGGCUCCCGGGAUGGUUCUUCCGGUUCUUUGUGCCGCCUUCACCCAGUGAAGGAGCCUGUAUCCACCCUGCCCAGUCGCUGUUGGGCUGCUGCGGAGCUUCCGCUGCCAUCUUCGGAUCCUGUGUUCCGCCCGGGGCUCCACCAGGGCAGGGAUGGUGCAGAAUGGGGAAAUGGAGAGAGAACCUGAAAGAGCCCCAAACUCGAGGACCUAUUGCUCCCCAAGAAUAACAUCUUCCAGAACUAGACAGAAAACUAGGCGUCUGGGAACCCUGAAAUCCUUGGAGGAGUAGAUCAUCAUGACCCUCUGUGUUCCUUUUGGCAAAUGACUUGCUUCCAUUGUUUGUUUGUUCAAUUGUCUGUUUGUUAAAUAAAUAAAACCCUUUUCAUGUAUCUUUAAAAUUACAUUGGUUCUAUUAUUUUAUGAUUACAAACGAUGCUGCAGUCAUCAUUCUUGUACACUUCUCAUUGGCCACUGGUGUAUUUCUAUAGGGUGGAGGCCUGGAGAGCAGUUGUUCCAGCAUAGUGUUUACAUAGCUUUUAUUUAAUUCCGUUUUCUUUCCUUUGUUGCUUUAUUAGCUAUAACCCUUCUCUUAUUUCAGUGGCAGCUUUAGGGUUUCUGGGAUACAUCUUUAAUUUAUCACAUUCUGCUUUCAAGUGCAAUUAUACCUCCCUUUCUGGCCUUUAUCCUAGUGUUACGUAUUUUUACUUUAUGCAUUAUAAGUUUUGUGAUUAUCAUUACUUUCAUUUAUUAUGUCAAAUAUUUUUAAAAAGAUUUAAAUUAUAAGAAAAUGUGUAGUACAUGCUUUCUAAAUGCCAUUUCCAAUAUUUGUUUUUGUAUAGGUCCAGAUUUUUAUCUGGGAUCCUUUUGCUUCUGCCUGGAGGACUUUUAAUAAGAUUUCUUGUAACGUGGGUUGGUGAAUUGUUUUAGCUUUUGUAUGUUUUUCGAUGUCCUUAUUUCACUCACAGUUUUGAAAUUUUAUUUUUGCAUAGAAUUCUAGGUUAACUUUUUUUCUCUGGGUACUUUAAAAAUGUUACCAUUUAUGAAGCAUUGCCAUUAUAAUAUCAUCUUUCUUUCCUGUGUUUGUAAGAAUGGCAUAAAGCCGGUUUCUUGCGGUGGUUAUAUAAUUUUCAGAAUGUGU